GAUGAACGCUGGCGGCGUGCUUAACACAUGCAAGUCGAACGGGAAUUACUUUAUUGAAACUUCGGUCGAUUUAAUUUAAUUCUAGUGGCGGACGGGUGAGUAACGCGUGGGUAACCUGCCUUGUACAGGGGGAUAACAGUCAGAAAUGACUGCUAAUACCGCAUAAGCGCACAGGACCGCAUGGUCCGGUGUGAAAAACUCCGGUGGUAUAAGAUGGACCCGCGUUGGAUUAGCUAGUUGGUGGGGUAACGGCCUACCAAGGCGACGAUCCAUAGCCGGCCUGAGAGGGUGAACGGCCACAUUGGGACUGAGACACGGCCCAGACUCCUACGGGAGGCAGCAGUGGGGAAUAUUGCACAAUGGGGGAAACCCUGAUGCAGCGACGCCGCGUGAAGGAAGAAGUAUCUCGGUAUGUAAACUUCUAUCAGCAGGGAAGAAUUAGGACGGUA
rnacentral:rRNA from 1 species